AGUGAACGCUGGCGGCAGGCCUAACACAUGCAAGUCGAACGGCAGCACAGAGGAGCUUGCUCCUUGGGUGGCGAGUGGCGGACGGGUGAGGAAUACACCGGAAUCUGCCUUAUCGUGGGGGAUAACGUAGGGAAACUUACGCUAAUACCGCAUACGACCUACGGGUGAAAGCGGGGGAUCGCAAGACCUCGCGCGAUAAGAUGAGCCGAUGUCGGAUUAGCUAGUUGGCGGGGUAAAGGCCCACCAAGGCGACGAUCCGUAGCUGGUCUGGGAGGAUGAUAAGCCACACUGGAACUGAGACACGGUCCAGACUCCUACGGGAGGCAGCAGUGGGGAAUAUUGGACAAUGGGCGCAAGCCUGAUUCAGCCAUGCCGCGUGGGUGAAGAAGGCCUUCGGGUUGUAAAGCCCUUUUGUCCGGAAAGAAAAGCACUGGAUUAAUACUUCGGUGUUCUGACGGUACCGGAAGAAUAAGCACCGGCUAACUUCGUGCCAGCAGCCGCGGUAA
rnacentral:rRNA from 1 species